rnacentral:lncRNA from 1 species
UCUUUUAUUUAUGUCUAGCUGUUGCUUCUUCUGCUACAACUGCUGCUUCUUCUGUUACAAGCUCGAAGUCAUGGGAAGAUUUCCGAAAGUAUCGCUCCCAGCAUCCAGGCCCUCUAUCUAUGAGGGCCUUCCAUC